GUCCUGGAAAACCACACAGUAACCUUCAGUCUGCCCAAAAAACGCUGGCUUCGGAAUACUCCUUAUGUACAAACCAAGCUGGAAAUGUACGUGUGAAACACUCGAAUUGGACAAAUGUAGCAGCAGCAACUUAUUUUAUUCUGGUAAGAAAUUUGACCCCCAACCAAGGCAUUUUUUCCUUUAAAUAGCAAAAAGGAUUUCAAUAGCGCACCAUACACGAGCGAAAUAUCUGUCAUAUCUGAGCCAAAUUCGAAGAAAUAUCGGUCCGUUAAUAGCGCCCCAUACACGGGCAGAUUACCCGUACAGUUCAGAUACGUAGAGAUUUGAUUCGACAGAUCCAGAUCGGACGAAUUAAAUCUUUCCCUGCCAACUAAUUAACAUACCAAGCACGAGUGGCGAUUCUUCCAAUGGGAUUGGAGGUAUCAGAUCCGUCCGUAAGUGGAGUGAAAUCUUACGUUUCAGACAGACUUGAUCUGGCGCGUGGUAUUUCAAGUGAGCUAAAAGAUUUGGUCGUGGCAGAGCAGAUUAGUUAAACUAAGUGUUUAAAAUGCGAAGCAAGAAACGGAUAGCUAUUGCUUGUGCUGGCAUCAUAGUGUUUUCAGAAAAUCUACUCAAAAAAAAUGAAAAUAAAGUGAGUAGACCGGAGACUAUAGACUGGAAGGGCGUCGGCAGCCAUAGGGAAAAAUGAGGCAAAAAAAAUUAAAAAUCGAAUGCACGCUGGGAUUUUUUUUUAUAAACACGUUGUUAUUAAAACAAUUAAAUACAUAAUUAUAGAAAAACAAACAAACGAUACAAACCGAACUAAUUAAAACCAACGUUAAAAAGGCAAAUU